rnacentral:rRNA from 1 species
ACGGAAGGCAGCAGUGGGGAAUAUUGCACAAUGGGGGAAACCCUGAACCAGCGACGCCGCGUGAGUGAAGAAGUAUUUCGGUAUGUAAAGCUCUAUCAGCAGGGACGAUAAUGACGGUACCUGGCUAAGAAGCCCCGGCUAACUACGUGCCAGCAGCCGCGGUAAUACGUAGGGGGCAAGCGUUAUCCGGAUUUACUGGGUGUAAAGGGAGCGUAGGUGGCCAUGCAAGUCAGAUGUGAAAUCCCGGGGCUCAACCCCGGAGCUGCAUUUGAAACUGCGUAGCUAGAGUGCAGGAGAGGUAAGCGGAAUUCCUAGUGUAGCGGUGAAAUGCGUAGAUAUUAGGAGGAACACCAGUGGCGAAAGCGGCUUGCUGGACUGCAACUGACACUGAGGCUCGAAAGCGUGGGGAGCAAACAGGAUUAGAUACCCUGGUA